AGACAAGGGUGAGUGGCCCUGUAAAUGAAUUUUAAUAGAAACCAUAUAAAACAUUAUAACCCCUCGCUACAACACCUGUAUAAUUCCCAGAAAAAUCAUAAAUAUACCAUAACACAACAUCUCGUCAGCAAUAUCAAAUAAUCAUAUGUUUAGUAACUCAUACUAGUACGCAAGUCGGAGUAAUCUAUGGUGACCUGUACGACCUACCCAUAUCUCAUCACAUAUACUACUUCAUCACAUAUUUCAUCACAUAUGCUAGCUUAUCACAUAUCUCAUCACAUAUUCUAGCUCAUCACAUAUGCUAGCUUAUCACAUAUUCAUCACAUAUGCUAGCUUAUAACAUAUUAAUCACAUAUGCUAACUUAUCACAUAUCUCAUCACAUAUGCUAGUUUAUCACAUAUUUCAUCAUAUAUGCUAGCUCAUCACAUAUCUCAUCACAUAUGCUAGUUUAUCACAUAUUUCAUCAUAUAUGCUAGCUUAUCACAUAUUCAUCACAUAUGCUAGCUUAUCACAUAUUCAU
rnacentral:lncRNA from 1 species